UGUAUCUUCUAUAAUGUACAAUAUAAAUACGUUUUGUAAAUACUUUUCUCCUAUUUCCGAGCACAUUUAAUUUUUAACCGCUGAAAUAUAGUUGUUCGUCAGCCUUUUUGGGCACUUCGUGUCUCCGUACCGUAAUUCCACUAAUAGACGUGCAGCAAACUCCAGAUGGGGGCUCACUUGACCGGGUGUUCGCAGAUGGCGGCUUACUUGACCGCGGUGACUGACAGCACAGAGGAGGAGACGCUCCACAGCAUCAUCAGUGACACUGAGAACAUUCAAGAAAUGCACAUUUGAAGGUAGCUUGAGGAUGCAGAGGAUCCUACUCCAAACACGAGUUCCAGGCAGAGACAAAGAAACUGCUGGAUAUUAUGGCCUGAUCACUGUAUUAUGAGAAAGAGGUGUUCAUCAGAGAGCUCAUCUCAAACGGCAGUGAUGCGCUGGAGAAACUGCGUCACAAGAUGAUCACAGCAGGAGGAGAUACAGCACCCAUGGAGAUCCACCUCAGACAGAUGCUGCCAAAUUCACCUUUACCAUCCAGGACACAGGAGUUGGGAUGAACAAGGAUGAACUGGUUGCUAAUCUGGGCACCAUCACUCGAUCUGGAUCAAAGGUUUUUCUGGAUGCUCUUCAGAAUCAAGUGGAGGUCCAGCAGCUCCAUCAUCGGUCAGUUCGGUGUGGGCUUUUACUCCGCCUUCAUGGUGGCUGAUAAAGUGGACGUUUAUUCUCAGUCAGCAGAACCAGGUGUUGCUGGAUACAAGUGGUCCUCAGAUGGCUCUGAAGUGUUUGAGAUCGCAGAAGCUUCAGGUGUGCGUCAGGGAACCAAGAUUGUGCUGAACCCCUAUGACUUACAUUAUUUACCCUUUCCAUAAAUGUAUUAAAUAGGGCUACACAAUUAAUCAAAAUUAAACUGCAAUUGCGAUUAGGCAAAAGCUGUGUUUUUGUUUUGUUUUUUGUUUUGUUUUUUGUUUUUACCACUUGCUCAGCUUAUCAAUGGUGCAUGGUUCUGUGAUCAAUAUUAACUACUGCUCCAUCCAAAGGCUAACAUCCACUGAUGUUAUUUCAUCAACACUUUGUGGCCUAUGUAUACUAGCUUGAUUGAUUUACGUUAGUUACACACAUUUAUGUGUAAUGUUAACUUAAUGUUACAUGAGCCUAAGCUCUUUUCAAUAAAAUCCAUCUAAAAGUUAAUAUCAGAUCAUUUUAGAAUUCAGUAUAGGAUGUACCGAAUAUUCUUCAGUUUUAUGCAAAACAGAAAUACGACAAAAAGAAUAUCAAAUCUGUCAUAUGGCCAAAUAAAUGCCAAAAAAAAAGGAAUUUUGCAUAGUUGUAUAUCUUACAAUGUAACACAAUGUAACCUUGCUCUCAGUUGAAAUGUGUCCCCACAUUAAGUACUUGAAUUUGAGAUGUUGGUCUUGGAAUUUUUUCAAACGCCCUUAAAAUUGAGGUUAACCAAGGUGUGAGACCUGAUGUUUUUUACUGAAUGCUCUUCAAUCAAAAUUCAAAUUCAAUUCAAAGAUGCCAUUUGAAACUAAACACAGACGUUUAAACCAACAUACUAUGGAUAAAAACUGCUAUGAUUACUCUAAUUUUAAAACACAUAUUUAAUUUAAACAAUAUUUAAACCUAUUAACAUUUUUACAUAACAUUUAUCUCACUCGCAAUUCUGACUUUUUUUUUUCUUACUUGCCGGCAACCUGCCAAAAUAAAAGCUUGCUAAUUUUAGGUGUGAAAAUGAUAAAAAAUUAAUAUAAAAAAGUUAAAAUUCUAAUUUUAUUUUUAAGUGUACUAUAAAAUAACCUUAUUUUUAUUUAAUACUCCCUUUUAUUUUAGAAUAUUAUAGCAUUACUACACUUUAUUAUUUUUUUUAUUAUUUUAUUGAAAAAUUAUAUUAUUAUCACUAUUUUAUAUAUAUAUAAUAUAUAUAUAUAUAUAUAUUUUUUUUUUUUUGUUAGAAUAAAUGGGUCACACUAUGUGCAGUGUGAGGACCAAACCAAAUCUCCAGGUACUCUUAUAAGAACCAUGCUAAAAAACUUAGGUGCACCACUGUUUCUAUGCCAUUUUGUUUUGUAUUUCUUAUUUUCUCCUGGUUAUGUUAGUUUACAGAGUUAGUUUAAUCAGCUGUAUUAUUUUUAUUUUUAUUUUUAUUUUUUUGUAGCUUAACUAAUUGAUUAUAAAACAGGAAGUUUUGUUGUUGUGGCUUUUCCCCCUUUUG